GACGAACGCUGGCGGCGUGCUUAACACAUGCAAGUCGAGCGAGGCCCUCCCUUCGGGGAGGUGUCCUAGCGGCGAACGGGUGAGUAACACGUGGGCAACCUGCCCUCCGCUCUGGGAUAACCCCGGGAAACCGGAGCUAAUACCGGAUACGACCUCGGAAGACAUCUUCUGAGGUGGAAAGAAUUUCGGCGGAGGAUGGGCCCGCGGCCUAUCAGCUUGUUGGUGGGGUAACGCCCACCAAGGCGACGACGGGGUAGCCGGCCUGAGAGGGCGACCGGCCACACUGGGACUGAGACACGGCCCAGACUCCUACGGGAGGCAGCAGUGGGGAAUAUUGCGCAAUGGGCGAAAGCCUGACGCAGCGACGCCGCGUGAGGGAUGAAGGCC
rnacentral:rRNA from 1 species